UAUUUAUCAGUGGCAGUGUUCACUAUAAAUG
rfam:Cariama cristata contig886, whole genome shotgun sequence.